rnacentral:misc_RNA from 1 species
UACGGAGGAUGCAAGCGUUAUCCGGAAUCAUUGGGUUUAAAGGGUCCGUAGGCGGAUUGGUAAGUCAGUGGUGAAAGUCUGCAGCUCAACUGUAGAACUGCCAUUGAUACUGCCGGUCUUGAGUCAUUAUGAAGUGGUUAGAAUGAGCAGUGUAGCGGUGAAAUGCAUAGAUAUUGCUCAGAAUACCAAUUGCGAAGGCAGAUCACUAAUAAUGUACUGACGCUGAUGGACGAAAGCGUGGGGAGCGAACAGG